UACGUAGGGGGCUAGCGUUGUCCGGAAUCAUUGGGCGUAAAGAGCGUGUAGGCGGUCCGGUAAGUCCGCUGUGAAAGUCGGGGGCUCAACCCUCGAAUGCCGGUGGAUACUGCCGGGCUAGAAUCCGGAAGAGGCGAGUGGAAUUCCUGGUGUAGCGGUGGAAUGCGCAGAUAUCAGGAGGAACACCAAUAGCGAAGGCAGCUCGCUGGGACGGUAUUGACGCUGAGGCGCGAAAGCGUGGGGAGCAAACAGG
rnacentral:rRNA from 1 species